CGCACAUGACCAAUGAGGGCACGAGAUAAGUUUGUGCACAGAUGGAAGGCUGACAGGCAGAAAGGAUCAUGCUAGCCCACAUCAAACACCUGAUCAAGAACUUGUGAAUCUUCAGGCAGAAAAGAUGAAAACACCUGUUCAAAGUUCCAGUUCCCUGUACAUGGAACCAUGCCUGUCCUCUGUUCCACAUGUGUUAAGUCAGUUUUGGACCCUAUGACUUGGACACUAGUUCUACCAAGGCUUAUUAGAGUUUGCUUCUAGAAGUGGCUUCAACAGACAGAAAUGCCAGAUUGGGAAAGGCUGGGGAAACAUUAUGGACAUGAACAAGAAAAAACAAAAAACACUUUCUUUGUUGCCUUUUCCUUAUCAUAGUGUUACUGUUUUUGUUACCAUUUAAAUAUUGAAUUCUAUUUAUUACUUGUAUUUUAAAUCAAAUGCACCUGUUUUAGAUAAUGUAUUUAUUUUUUAUGUAUAGGUUGAUUUGCAGGUUGGUUGUUAUUUGUAUAAUUAUUGUAUUGUUACUGCGUAUUUUAUUAUAUUAACUAGCUAUUUGUUGCUAUUUAUUAAAUUAAAAUACUGUUAUGAACACUAUACAAUGUCUUUAUUUUUGGUAGAUACCAGAAUACAUGACACAAUGAAUCUUUGUAAUAUAUUUAUGUUCUCUGGUUUAAAUAAUCAUACCAGUAUUUAAACAAUGUAUGCUGGUCACCUGGAAUCCUGGUAAGUUUCCAGCAUGGUAUAUUUAAUACUAUU